AGAGUUUGAUCCUGGCUCAGGAUGAACGCUAGCGACAGGCCUAACACAUGCAAGUCGAGGGGCAGCACAGAUAGCAAUAUUGGGUGGCGACCGGCGCACGGGUGAGUAACGCGUAUGCAACCUACCUACUACAAGAGGAUAACCCGUUGAAAGGCGGACUAAUACUCUAUAAGACAGGGGAUCCGCAUGGAUAUAUUUGUUAAAGAUUAAUUGGUAGUAGAUGGGCAUGCGUUCCAUUAGCUUGUUGGUGAGGUAACGGCUCACCAAGGCAACGAUGGAUAGGGGAACUGAGAGGUUGGUCCCCCACACUGGAACUGAGACACGGUCCAGACUCCUACGGGAGGCAGCAGUGAGGAAUAUUGGUCAAUGGACGAGAGUCUGAACCAGCCAAGUCGCGUGAAGGAAGACGGCCCUAAGGGUUGUAAACUUCUUUUGUAGAGGAAUAAAAUGUUCUACGUGUAGGAUAUUGCAAGUACUUUACGAAUAAGGAUCGGCUAACUCCGUGCCAGCAGCCGCGGUAAUACGGAGGAUCCGAGCGUUAUCCGGAUUUAUUGGGUUUAAAGGGUGCGCAGGCGGCAUGUUAAGUCGGCGGUGAAAUUUUGCAGCUCAACUGUAAAAGAGCCUUCGAAACUGGCAAGCUUGAGUAUGGAUGAAGUAGGCGGAAUUUGUGGUGUAGCGGUGAAAUGCUUAGAUAUCACGAAGAACUCCAAUUGCGAAGGCAGCUCACAGGAGUGUAACUGACGCUGAUGCUCGAAAGUGUGGGAAUCAAACAGGAUUAGAUACCCUGGUAGUCCACACCGUAAACGAUGAAUACUCGCUGUUUGCGAUAUACAGUAAGCGGCCAAGCGAAAGCAUUAAGUAUUCCACCUGGGGAGUACGCCGGCAACGGUGAAACUCAAAGGAAUUGACGG
rnacentral:rRNA from 1 species